rnacentral:rRNA from 1 species
AUGCGUUUUGUGCGGCGAAUCCAGGAGUCUAUGGUCAAGGAGGCUUUAAAAAGGAUGAAAGGAGGCAAGGCGAUGGGCCCUGAUUGUAUCCCCAUUGAGGUGUGGAAAGGUCUCGGGGACAUAGCGAUAGUAUGGCUAACCAAGCUUUUCAACCUCAUUUUUCGGGCAAACAAGAUGCCAGAAGAAUGGAGACGGAGUAUAUUAGCACCAAUCUUCAAGAACAAGGGGGAUGUUCAGAGUUGUACUAAUUACCAUGGAAUUAAGCUGAUGAGCCAUACAAUGAAGCUAUGGGAGAGAGUCAUUAAGCACCGCUUAAGAAGAAUGACAAGCGUGACCAAAAAUCAUUUUGGUUUCAUGCCUGGGAGCUCGACCAUGGAAGCCAUUUUCUUGGUAUGA